rnacentral:misc_RNA from 1 species
GUGGGAGCGAGCUUGCUCGCGAUAGCGUCAUGCCAGUCGACAUUGAUGUUGAAUGGACUACCGAAUCGCGAGCAAGCUCGCUCCCAC